rnacentral:tRNA from 1 species
GCACCCGUAGCUCAGCAGGAUAGAGCGUCGGUUUCCUAAACCGCAGGUCGGGGGUUCGAGUCCCUCCGGGUGUGCCA